UGGGGAAUUUUGGACAAUGGGCGAAAGCCUGAUCCAGCAAUGCCGCGUGUGUGAAGAAGGCCUUCGGGUUGUAAAGCACUUUUGUCCGGAAAGAAAUCCUUGGCUCUAAUACAGUCGGGGGAUGACGGUACCGGAAGAAUAAGCACCGGCUAACUACGUGCCAGCAGCCGCGGUAAUACGUAGGGUGCAAGCGUUAAUCGGAAUUACUGGGCGUAAAGCGUGCGCAGGCGGUUUGCUAAGACCGAUGUGAAAUCCCCGGGCUCAACCUGGGAACUGCAUUGGUGACUGGCAGGCUAGAGUAUGGCAGAGGGGGGUAGAAUUCCACGUGUAGCAGUGAAAUGCGUAGAGAUGUGGAGGAAUACCGAUGGCGAAGGCAGCCCCCUGGGCCAAUACUGACGCUCAUGCACGAAAGCGUGGGGAGCAAACAGGAUUAGAUACCCCUGGUAGUCCACGCCCUAAACGAUGUCAACUAGUUGUUGGGGAUUCAUUUCCUUAGUAACGUAGCUAACGCGUGAAGUUGACCGCCUGGGGAGUACGGUCGCAAGAUUAAAACUUAAAGGAAUUGACGGGGUCAUAGCUGUUU
rnacentral:rRNA from 1 species